GACGAACGCUGGCGGCGUGCUUAACACAUGCAGUCCGAAGCUGAAGCUUGGUUCUUGCACUGGGGGGGUGAGUUGCGAACGGGUGGGGAAUUAGUGAGUAACCUGCCCUUGACUCCGGGGUAAGGCUGGGAAAACGGGGCUAAUACCGGAUUCGGCAUGUCAACGCCUGGGGGUUUUUUGAAAGGGGUUUACUGGUUUUGGAUGGGCUCACGGCCUAUCAGCUUGUUGGUGGGGUAAUGGCUCACCAAGGCGACGACGGGUAGCCGGCCUGAGAGGGUGACCGGCCACACUGGGACUGAGACACGGCCCAGACUCCUACGGGAGGCAGCAGUGGGGAAUAUUGCACAAUGGGCGGAAGCCUGAUGCAGCGACGCCGCGUGAGGGAUGACGGCCUUCGGGUUGUAAACCUCUUUCAGCACGGAAGAAGCGAAAGUGACGGUACGUGCAGAAGAAGCGCCGGCUAACUACGUG
rnacentral:rRNA from 1 species